rnacentral:rRNA from 1 species
UGCAAGUCGAACGGAAAGGCCCCUUCGGGGGUACUCGAGUGGCGAACGGGUGAGUAACACGUGGGUGAUCUGCCCUGCACUUUGGGAUAAGCCUGGGAAACUGGGUCUAAUACCGAAUAGGACUCCGGACUGCAUGGUCUGGGGUGGAAAGCUUUUGCGGUGUGGGAUGGGCCCGCGGCCUAUCAGCUUGUUGGUGGGGUGAUGGCCUACCAAGGCGACGACGGGUAGCCGGCCUGAGAGGGUGUCCGGCCACACUGGGACUGAGAUACGGCCCAGACUCCUACGGGAGGCAGCAGUGGGGAAUAUUGCACAAUGGGCGCAAGCCUGAUGCAGCGACGCCGCGUGAGGGAUGACGGCCUUCGGGUUGUAAACCUCUUUCGCCAGGGACGAAGCGCAAGUGACGGUACCUGGAGAAGAAGCACCGGCCAACUACGUGCCAGCAGCCGCGGUAAUACGUAGGGUGCGAGCGUUGUCCGGAAUUACUGGGCGUAAAGAGCUCGUAGGUGGUUUGUCGCGUUGUUCGUGAAAACUCACAGCUUAACUGUGGGCGUGCGGGCGAUACGGGCAGACUGGAGUACUGCAGGGGAGACUGGAAUUCCUGGUGUAGCGGUGGAAUGCGCAGAUAUCAGGAGGAACACCGGUGGCGAAGGCGGGUCUCUGGGCAGUAACUGACGCUGAGGAGCGAAAGCGUGGGGAGCGAACAGGAUUAGAUACCCUGGUAGUCCACGCCGUAAACGGUGGGUACUAGGUGUGGGUUUCCUUCCUUGGGAUCCGUGCCGUAGCUAACGCAUUAAGUACCCCGCCUGGGGAGUACGGCCGCAAGGCUAAAACUCAAAGGAAUUGACGGGGGCCCGCACAAGCGGCGGAGCAUGUGGAUUAAUUCGAUGCAACGCGAAGAACCUUACCUGGGUUUGACAUGCACAGGACGCCGGCAGAGAUGUCGGUUCCCUUGUGGCCUGUGUGCAGGUGGUGCAUGGCUGUCGUCAGCUCGUGUCGUGAGAUGUUGGGUUAAGUCCCGCAACGAGCGCAACCCUUGUCUCAUGUUGCCAGCACGUUAUGGUGGGGACUCGUGAGAGACUGCCGGGGUCAACUCGGAGGAAGGUGGGGAUGACGUCAAGUCAUCAUGCCCCUUAUGUCCAGGGCUUCACACAUGCUACAAUGGCCGGUACAAAGGGCUGCGAUGCCGUGAGGUGGAGCGAAUCCUUUCAAAGCCGGUCUCAGUUCGGAUCGGGGUCUGCAACUCGACCCCGUGAAGUCGGAGUCGCUAGUAAUCGCAGAUCAGCAACGCUGCGGUGAAUACGUUCCCGGGCCUUGUACACACCGCCCGUCACGUCAUGAAAGUCGGUAACACCCGAAGCCGGUGGCCUAACCCUUGUGGAGGGA